AAAUUGAAGAGUUUGAUCAUGGCUCAGAUUGAACGCUGGCGGCAGGCCUAACACAUGCAAGUCGAACGGUAACAGGAAGCAGCUUGCUGCUUCGCUGACGAGUGGCGGACGGGUGAGUAAUGUCUGGGAAACUGCCUGAUGGAGGGGGAUAACUACUGGAAACGGUGGCUAAUACCGCAUAACGUCGCAAGACCAAAGAGGGGGACCUUCGGGCCUCUUGCCAUCAGAUGUGCCCAGAUGGGAUUAGCUUGUUGGUGAGGUAACGGCUCACCAAGGCGACGAUCCCUAGCUGGUCUGAGAGGAUGACCAGCCACACUGGAACUGAGACACGGUCCAGACUCCUACGGGAGGCAGCAGUGGGGAAUAUUGCACAAUGGGCGCAAGCCUGAUGCAGCCAUGCCGCGUGUAUGAAGAAGGCCUUCGGGUUGUAAAGUACUUUCAGCGGGGAGGAAGGUGUUGCGGUUAAUAACCGCAGCAAUUGACGUUACCCGCAGAAGAAGCACCGGCUAACUCCGUGCCAGCAGCCGCGGUAAUACGGAGGG
rnacentral:rRNA from 1 species